rnacentral:rRNA from 1 species
UGAGGAAUAUUGGUCAAUGGGCGAGAGCCUGAACCAGCCAAGUCGCGUGAAGGAUGACGGCCCUACGGGUUGUAAACUUCUUUUGCCGGGGAGCAAAGUGCCGCACGUGUGCGGUUUGGAGAGUACCCGGAGAAAAAGCAUCGGCUAACUCCGUGCCAGCAGCCGCGGUAAUACGGAGGAUGCGAGCGUUAUCCGGAUUUAUUGGGUUUAAAGGGUGCGUAGGCGGACGCUUAAGUCAGCGGUAAAAUUGCGGGGCUCAACCUCGUCGAGCCGUUGAAACUGGGUGCCUUGAGUGGGCGAGAAGUACGCGGAAUGCGUGGUGUAGCGGUGAAAUGCAUAGAUAUCACGCAGAACUCCGAUUGCGAAGGCAGCGUACCGGCGCCCAACUGACGCUGAAGCACGAAGGCGUGGGUAUCGAACAGG